rnacentral:sRNA from 1 species
GCCGGGCGUGGUGGCGCACGCCUGUAAUCCCAGCUACUCGGGAGGCUGAGGCAGGAGAAUCGUUUGAACCCGGGAGGCAGAGGUUGCAGUGAGCCGAGAUCCCGCCACUGCACUCCAGCCUGGGCGACAGAGUGAGACUCUGUCUCAA